UGCUCUUCAGAUCGAAUUGACCUCCAGGUCAAUUGACUGUGAGAAUUAGCUGUGUCUAAGAUGGGAGAACUUCUGUGCUGGAGACAGCUUUAUGAGACAAGACUUGCAAAACUGCAAAAGCCUCUGCUCAGUUUGGAUGGAGCAGAGUCUCAGGGCUGAGCAGACAACCUUGGCUUCC